CUGUCCCGGUGGUCCCAGCCUCUUCCUGGGCCGUGGGGAGCGAGGGCCGAGGGCCGCGUCCGUGUGGUGACCCCGGCCCCGCCUGAGGGUGGAUGACGUUCAGAAUCGACAGGGCAUGCACCCCAGGGCAGCCCAGCCUCCAUUCCUGCAGCAGAGCACAGCACAACAGAUGACACAGGGGCUCUGACCCUGCCUCCCAGUGCACGUCCAGGUCCCCCACCCAUUGUCUGAGCGAGUCUGGGUCCAUGCUGGUGACUGCUCCAGGCCCACCACCCUGACUGUGACACCCACACAGCCCUCAUCUGCUUCCUCAACUCCCGGUCCUCUCCUGGAGGCACAGAAAGCAACCUUCACUGCCACUUUGGGAAUGGGGGACAUUCCUGUGCACCUUUGUGCGUCAUCACAGCCACGUCUGCAGACCUUGGGGGGCUCCUGCAAGUCCACCUGGGAAGAUGGCCAGAACUCUUUGAGGCCCCCUCCAGCUCAUUAACCAACCAUGGGGUCAGCCCACAAAGCCCCUUCCUGCCUGCUUCCUCUCCAGCCCUCUUCUUGCCCCUCUCCAGGUUAACCAAUUUUACCUAAUCAGAAGAUAAAAACUGCCCCAGACUCACCAUACUGUGAAUCUUUCAAGGCAAAAAGCAGAAUGUUUGAUUCAGUUGUUGCACAGUGACAGCUUUUCCCCUGAGGCAGUAGGUUCACAAUGCCAAAGGAUGGCAAACUCCAUGGGGUAGAAGGAAGAAACAUUACACGGGUCAACUCAGUGAUUUUCAGUAGUGAUCUCUGAUCACCUAGCAAGUUUGACACCUGCCAAGUGGACAGGAAGGGGCGCCUGUGGGGAGUGAAGAGUCAGGGGGCAUGUGGAGGUGCAGAGACAGGCAGGACCUUGGGCAGAGCUCGUCCCUCCCUGCGCCUGAGGUGACAAAAGACAGGGAGAGGGACACUUCCAGGAAGAUGGCGGAGUGCGUGACGUGGAGCGGGCCUCUCUGUGAAGGUAACUAGAGAGGGGCUGAAGAGCACCUGGAGCCAUGGUUUUCAGGUGUGACCAGCCAUAGAGGGUCCCCUACAGUGCGUGGUAGGGACAUGGAAGAAAAUUCGAGAGAGACGGUGGUUCCAGGGACAGGGUGAGUUUGUUCCCGUCGAGACAGCCUGCCAGGCAGCUGUCCAUUCAUGUGCACCUACCUGGACAGUGUGCUGGGUGGUGGGGAGCUCCCAGGAGGGAAACCUGGAGGCUGGGAUUGCUUACCCCCACGGAUGUCCAGGGGGGUGCAACAGCAAGAAGUGGGGAGGAGAGAGGCGCCAUAUUGGCAAUCAGGAACCUGUCCCACACCCCAGAGACUUGUGGGCACAUAGCAGGCAGAGAACCACCAGGGAGGACCUUUGUCCCACCUGCGGGUGCCCCUGAUUGGGCUGCCUGCCUACCUGCUUUGGGCCCAAGUUGCAGCCCCAGUGCUGGGAUUCCCCAGAGCACAUGGAGAUCCUGUGUAUUGAUUAUUCCCCAACCUGGUUUGGACUCCGCCCACUGCAAAGGAGAAGCUUGGGGAAGACCUACUUGAGAGUGCCACCUGCUGUUAGCUUAGGGAAACUGUACUCCGGCAAACCAGAUUAUAUAUAAAUGCUCAAUUAAUUUUGCACUUCCCAAAAUAACCCUAUCAAGAUAAGCAAAUGCCCCAAAGCCAACAGAAAAUCACAAAGCAUAGGAGUCACAAAAUUUGGAGCAAUUA